rnacentral:rRNA from 1 species
CAACCCUGGUGGCGAGUGGCGAACGGGUGAGUAAUACAUCGGAACGUGUCCUGUAGUGGGGGAUAGCCCGGCGAAAGCCGGAUUAAUACCGCAUACGAUCUACGGAGGAAAGCGGGGGAUCUUCGGACCUCGCGCUGCAGGGGCGGCCGAUGGCAGAUUAGCUAGUUGGUGGGGUAAAGGCCUACCAAGGCGACGAUCUGUAGCUGGUCUGAGAGGACGACCAGCCACACUGGGACUGAGACACGGCCCAGACUCCUACGGGAGGCAGCAGUGGGGAAUUUUGGACAAUGGGGGCAACCCUGAUCCAGCAAUGCCGCGUGUGUGAAGAAGGCCUUCGGGUUGUAAAGCACUUUUGUCCGGAAAGAAAACUUCGUCCCUAAUAUGGAUGGAGGAUGACGGUACCGGAAGAAUAAGCACCGGCUAACUACGUGCCAGCAGCCGCGGUAAUACGUAGGGUGCGAGCGUUAAUCGGAAUUACUGGGCGUAAAGCGUGCGCAGGCGGUCUGUUAAGACCGAUGUGAAAUCCCCGGGCUUAACCUGGGAACUGCAUUGGUGACUGGCAGGCUAGAGUGUGGCAGAGGG